rnacentral:rRNA from 1 species
GACGAACGCUGGCGGCGUGCCUAAUACAUGCAAGUUGAGCGCUGAAGGUUGGUACUUGUACCGACUGGAUGAGCAGCGAACGGGUGAGUAACGCGUGGGGAAUCUGCCUUUGAGCGGGGGACAACAUUUGGAAACGAAUGCUAAUACCGCAUAAAAACUUUAAACACAAGUUUUAAGUUUGAAAGAUGCAAUUGCAUCACUCAAAGAUGAUCCCGCGUUGUAUUAGCUAGUUGGUGAGGUAAAGGCUCACCAAGGCGAUGAUACAUAGCCGACCUGAGAGGGGGAUCGGACACAUUGGGGCUGAGACACGGCCCAAACGCCUACGGGAGGCAGCAGUAGGGAAUCUUCGGCAAUGGACGAAAGUCUGACCGAGCAACGCCGCGUGAGUGAAGAAGGUUUUCGGAUCGUAAAACUCUGUUGGUAGAGAAGAACGUUGGUGAGAGUGGAAAGCUCAUCAAGUGACGGUAACUACCCAGAAAGGGACGGCUAACUACGUGCCAGCCGCCGCGGUAA